AUGAAUGGAUUAAAUAUGCGGGAGAGCGAUGGAGAGGUUUUAAGCCUGAUACAAAUUAUAAUUCUAUAUAGUGAUUGUGUGUACUAUGUGAUGGAAAAUAUGUUGGAUAUUGUCUCUAACCGAGUCUUGGAUGCAGGUAAUAAAAAUAAUUUUACUUUGUUAUUUACUUUAUGUUUUGCAACUUAA